rnacentral:rRNA from 1 species
UACGUAGGGGGCAAGCGUUGUCCGGAUUUAUUGGGCGUAAAGAGCUCGUAGGCGGUUCCGUAAGUCGUGAAGUCAAAUCUCUGGGCUCAACCCAGAAUCGCUUCCGAUACUGCGGUGACUGGAGUCCGGUAGGGGAGUGUGGAAUUCUUGGUGUAGCGGUGAAAUGCGCAGAUAUCAGGAGGAACACCAACAGCGAAGGCAGCACUCUGGGCCGGUACUGACGCUGAGGAGCGAAAGCAUGGGGAGCGAACAGG